GGAAAAAGAAGUGGAAAAACUAACGAGAAUUAGCUGCAAUCUCUUCAUCUUGGCCGCCCACAUGAUACUCAUAUGAACUGUAUUUGCAUAUCCCAACAUCUCAAACCACAUACUGCCAAUUAGCUUCCAUUUGUCUUCAUUGCUCAGACGCAAUAAGCUAUUUGCAAGAUCUUUCACAUCCUUUAGCAGAUGCCAAUUCCCUACAACUAUCUUCUCUGCCCCUGAUGGUUCAUGAGGCUCCUUUGCUUGAAGGGUACCUUCAUUUUCUAAAUUCAGAAGUUUAUUGCAGGCGUCCUCUAUGUUUCGAUGUCCAGUUCUUGUGAACUCCCCAAGCUUCACGCACGAAUGGUCAAAGAUAAUCUCUCCCGUCGUUGUUGAUAGCACGUGGGAACGAGUCACCAAAAGGACUAGAGAUCUCCACGUUCCUAGCCCCGUGGGGACCUGCCCCAAAUGGGGAGAGAUCCCGAGAUCCCUGUUUAGACAGAAAAUGGGAGAGAGAGUGGAGAACAUUUUUUCCCAAGGACAAGAUUUUAUUCCCUGUCUCUGUCCUCUCCCAAAUGGGGCCAAAGACAGGAUUUUAUUCCUUGUCUAUGUCCUAUCCCAAUUCCCCACUUAAUGUAAAUAUAUUUUCAACACGUACUAAUAUAUAU